CUGCCCAGUGAUUUAGUUUUAACGGCCGCGGUAUCCUAACCGUGCAAAGGUAGCAUAAUAAUUUGCCUAUUAAUUGUAGGCUAGAAUGAACGGAUAAACGUAAUAAAAACUGUCUCAAUCAUUAUUAUAAAAAUUAACAUUUACAUGAAGAGAAGUAAAUAAGCUCGAAGGACAAGAAGACCCUAUAGAGCUUUAUUUUAAAUAUGUUUAACACAUAAAAAAAUUCGGUUGGGGCGACCAAGGGAAGCAUAUAAACACCCUUUUUUAAAAAGAUAUAUAUAUCAAAACGAAAUGACCCUAUAAAGAUCAUAAAAACAAGCUACCUUAGGGAUAACAGGCUAAUCCUAUUUAAGAGUUCAUAUCUGCAAUAGGGUUUGGCACCUCGAUGUUGGCUUAGGGUAUCAUCUUAGCGCAAAAGUUAAGAAAAGAUGGUUUGUUCAACCAAUAAUCCCCU
rnacentral:rRNA from 1 species